UACGUAGGGGGCAAGCGUUGUCCGGAAUCAUUGGGCGUAAAGAGCGUGUAGGCGGCCCGAUAAGUCCGCUGUGAAAGUCCAGGGCUCAACCCUGGAAUGCCGGUGGAUACUGUCGGGCUCGAGUCCGGAAGAGGUGAGUGGAAUUCCUGGUGUAGCGGUGAAAUGACGCAGAUAUCAGGAAGAACACCCGUGGCGAAGGCGGUUCUCUGGGACGGUACUGACGCUGAGACGCGAAAGCGUGGGGAGCGAACAGG
rnacentral:rRNA from 1 species